GAUGAACGCUGGCGGCGUGCCUAAUACAUGCAAGUCGAGCGAACAGAUGAGGAGCUUGCUCCUCUGACGUUAGCGGCGGACGGGUGAGUAACACGUGGAUAACCUACCUAUAUGACUGGGAUAACUUCGGGAAACCGGAGCUAAUAACGGACAAUAUAUUGAACCGCAUGGUUCAAUAGUGAAAGACGGUUUUGCUGUCACUUAUAGAUGGAUCCGCGCCGCAUUAGCUAGUUGGUAAGGUAACGGCUUACCAAGGCAACGAUGCGUAGCCGACCUGAGAGGGUGAUCGGCCACACUGGAACUGAGACACGGUCCAGACUCCUACGGGAGGCAGCAGUAGGGAAUCUUCCGCAAUGGGCGAAAGCCUGACGGAGCAACGCCGCGUGAGUGAUGAAGGUCUUCGGAUCGUAAAACUCUGUUAUUAGGGAAGAACAAAUGUGUAAGUAACUAUGCACGUCUUGACGGUACCUAAUCAGAAAGCCACGGCUAACUACGUG
rnacentral:rRNA from 1 species